rnacentral:lncRNA from 1 species
AGAAUUGAGGUUGGUUGAAGUGAAUUUAGAAUUUAAUUGGAUUUUCGAAGUCGAAAUGGAUUUUGGAUAGAUUUUUUUAUUUUGAUUUUUCUAGCAGAGAUUUUGUUGCUGCAAUUGGAGUUUUUCUUGACUUUCCUGGUUGAUCUUGAGCUGAUUAGUGUGCAUGAGGAGGUUGGUUCCUUUUCGUGGUUGGAUUUGCGUGCGAGGUAGGUUGUUGGAUUUACCGAAAUCAACGAAUUA